CAAAAGCAUUUUAUGAUCUUGAAUGCUCUUGGGAUGUGAUCCACAGUCCAGGAGACGGAAAGGACACUGUCUGCAGUCACCUGUGUGUGGAGGACGCCGGAGAGCAGGGGCUGGCCAGGAUGGAAGGAUGGAGGCAGGGUCAGACAGUUCUUACAGGUCUAAUGUCAUCUGUGAAUUUCACUUCCCAGUGAGUGGGGCCUUCUCUUCUUUCUGAGAUGCCAGCACUGAAGGAGUGGGGGUCAGUGUCAUCCACGUACGGGGCUGAGCGGGAGGCCUCACAAGAGCUACAGCUGGCGUUUGAAGGGCGAUCCCUCAGCUCCCUGGGGAGGGUUCGGCGCCUGAGGCUGACCUGGCGGUGAGGGGGAGGCGGGAAUGGGCACCGUCCCUUCCGUUUCCGUAUUGGCUCAGGGAAGUCAUUGUAACUUACAAUCUUAUUUCUAUUAUUGAAUUCUAAAAAUAACACCAUUCCACUGUGGAAAUUUUGGAAAACACCGAAAAGCAUAAAGGAAAAAGAAAUCAGGCAAGCACAGCCUCCCCCGGGCAGGGCUGUUAGUAUUUUGGCCUAUUUCCCUCCCCUGGGCUGUGUCGUUGAGCUCUUCCUGUGUCCUUGGCUUUUCACUUAUCAUUCUGACUGAGGCCUUUCCCCAGCUCAUUAAAAAUUUGCAAAUGUGAUUUUUUAAUGACAGCACAUGAUUGUCUGCCACAAAGCACUGUCUUCACUUACUCUCCUCGACCUCUUGGCAUUUAGAUUGUUUUCCUGUGUGAGUGUGCACAGAUGUGCGUGCCCGUGUGCGCAUGUGUGAGAUUAUAAAUGCAUGGCGAUGACCCUUUGCAGGCAUGUCUUUGCAGGCAUGUCUUGUAUGUCUUAACUUUCGCCUUUAUUUUUGAGGACCUGCCUACCCCACAGGGUUUUAUGAGGCUCCAAGGAGAAAUGGAUAUCAAGGUGCUUUGAAAACCGUGGAGAAAAGAGCCAUCCAAAUGGAAGUGCUAUGGCCGUUCCUUUGGACAACAGCAAUAACAAACAAGAGGAAUGGACGACUUUCCGUCGACGCCAGGACUGGGGUGGGCAGUGGGGUCUCAGAGGCCUGGUAUCCCGGUGGUCAAACUCCAGACAGAGG